rnacentral:rRNA from 1 species
GCAACCCUCGACCUUAGUUGCCAGCAUUCAGUUGGGCACUCUAAAGGUGAACUGCCGGCUAAAAGUCGGAGGAAGGUGGGGAUGACGUCAAAUCAUCAUGCCCCUUAUGACCUGGGCUACACACGUGCUACAAUGGGCGGUACAAAGGGUCGCGAACCCGCGAGGGGGAGCCAAUCCCAAAAAAGCCGCUCUCAGUUCGGAUUGCAGGCUGCAACUCGCCUGCAUGAAGCCGGAAUCGCUAGUAAUCGCGGAUCAGCAUGCCGCGGUGAAUACGUUCCCGGGCCUU